ensembl:lncRNA
AAGGAAAGGAGCAUACUGCUAGAUAUAGUAUGAGACACAUGGCUUGAAUGCAAGCAUUUAAGCAAGAUAUGGAAACAUUUGAAGUGUGUGAUACAAGUAAAGACAUCUGAUGGUAGUGCAUGAGAACAGAGCAUUGUUCAAGAUCUCAGUGUGGAUAGGCUAAUUCAACCAAUAUGGAAAGCAGUGCUCACUGCUCAUAGAACAGCUAUUCCUUAGUGAAUAUACCAUGUAGAAUCAUGUGAGUGGGAAGUCACCUUUAAAGGUCAUUUAGUGCAACUCACCUGCAGUGAACAGGGAAAUCUACAGCUGAAUCAGCCUGUGCAGGGCCCCAUCCAGCCUAACCUUGAACGUCUCCAGGGAUGGAGCAGAUAAUGGCAGUAUCUGGCCAAACCUGAAGCCUUGCCAAGGUGUCUCAGUCUGGAUGUCCUAGGAAAUAAGGCUGUGAUUUUUUAACAAGCUGUAUUUUGGCACAUGUAAAGAGCCAGGGUUUGCCAUGGGCUCUGCACAGGCUUGGGGAAACAGAUCUGUGAACAAUCUCUAGGCCAAGAUCUGCAAAGGUCUUUCCAUUUCUUUGAUUCCUCCAAAGUCUUUCUGUGGUGUUUGAUGUUAAAAUGUCUAUAAAAGGCUAUUUGUGAAGCUUUUGGCCAGGUUAUCUGGGGCUCUGAGUAACCUGUUGUGAAAGUUGUUCCUACCCAUGGAAGAGGGUUGGAGUGAGAUGGCUUUUAAGAUCUCUUCCAACCCAAGCCAUGCAGUGUUCAGUUAUUUUUAGGAAAACAGAGCCCACACCACACUCACAGGCAGUUCCUAUCCUGUGAUAUAACAUUUUUCUUUGUGCAAAGACUAGACGGAACUUCUAAAUCGCCGUGGUAUAAUAUACAACUGAUCUUGCUUCACUAAAACCCAUCACCUGGUUUAGUCUGUGUUAGGCUGGAUCAGCAGAGGUGCUAUGUCUCUUCUGCAAAUUUCUUCCUACCAUAGUAACGUAGAGUCACUUUUUUUUUUUUUUUUUUUUUUUUUGUAGCUUUGUGAUUGAAGGAGUCUUUUCCAACCAUGCAUAUAGUAUCCUUCAUAAAACUCAAAGGAGAGAACAUCCGUUUCUUAUAAAAACCUAGACACCUGACCUUAUGGUGAUAUUACAGCAGUGUUUUUUAUUGUCUGAGCUAUUCUAUAUGAAGCCUUUUCUUUCACGGAAUCUGUACAUGGGACUUUUCCCCCAUACUGGCUACUUGUAGCCCUGCUCAGUGAUCUAAGCAUUCAGAAACUUGUCCCCCUUCUUCUCAUUUUAGCUGCAACUCGUAGCUCCAUGGGGAUCCCCAGCUUUCAGGGCAUGUGUUGCUUCUCCUCAACAAUUUUAUCUUGAACAAUAGCCAGUCCAUACCUUAUCCCUACUCAAAACCCUACAGGCAACUCAGAUACCCCUAAACCUUAGGGCUGCAUUCUUUAGCACUGCUACUGCUACUGAAACAGAAAACAUUCGUUUUGGGGAUUGCUACAGCCUGAUUUCAGAGAGGAAAGCUAUACUGGAGAUACAGGAUGUGUCCACUAUACAAAUGUUAUUGCAGGGUAAACAUAAUUCCUAUGGAUAUAUUACGUAUCAUCUUGUCUUUGUAGAUGUUUCCAUUCUCAUUGCUGCAGAUGCUGAGGUUCUUGCAGAGUCCUCUGGCACUCAUGUAAGCCAGCGAGUAGGGAAAGGUCAGGCUGGCCUCAUCAUGAGACAGGCAGUAGAAGCCAAGCCCCAGCAGCCACCUCAUCUGGAAUUCCCAGCGAUGUGUGUUUCUUAGCCUCCUUGGAAACUCUGUUAUUGAGACGGUGUGAGUUUAAGCAAUUUCAUUCUAGCAGAUCACUCACCUCAUUUUUCUUGUUCUUUUAUCUGUGGAAUGUUGCUUAUGCUUUUCCUAAAUUGAUUCUUUCCUAAAUUCAUCCCUUUCUUCAUUCUCCUCUCCCAUGGAGGCCAAGUGCAUGCAGAUGAUUUCAUGCACAGGAUCUGACAUCAAGGAUGUGUGUGCAUGUGUAUACACAUAUAUAGUGUGUACAUAUUAAUAUAUAGAGACAUAUAAACACACAUACGGAGCAUACAACCAAGGCUGAAAAACUUGAACUAUUUCUGCAUGCACAUAAAAGAAAAAAAAA